rnacentral:rRNA from 1 species
GCUACGGGUGGCAGCAGUGAGGAAUAUUGGUCAAUGGACGCAAGUCUGAACCAGCCAUGCCGCGUGCAGGAAGACGGCUCUAUGAGUUGUAAACUGCUUUUGUACGAGGGUAAACGCAGAUACGCGUAUCUGUCUGAAAGUAUCGUACGAAUAAGGAUCGGCUAACUCCGUGCCAGCAGCCGCGGUAAUACGUAGGAUCCGAGCAUUAUCCGGAGUGACUGGGUGUAAAGAGUCGCUUAGGUGUCAUAAUAAGUAGCUAGUGAAAUCGGGUGGCUCAACCAUUCAGACUAUUAGCUAAACUGUUAAGCUCGAGACCGUUAGGGGUAACUGGAAUUUCUAGUGUAGGAGUGAAAUCCGUAGAUAUUAGAAGGAACACCAAUAGCGUAGGCAGGUUGCUGGGACGGUUCUGACACUAAGGCACGAAAGCGUAGGGAGCAAACGGGAUUAGAUACCCGAGUAGUC